GAUCCUGGCUUAGGAUGAACGCUAGCUACAGGCUUAACACAUGCAAGUCGAGGGGCAGCGGGAAGUCAGCUUGCUGACUUGCCGGCGACCGGCGCACGGGUGAGUAACGCGUAUCCAACCUUCCCCUUAGUAGGGCAUAGCCCGUAGAAAUGCGGAUUAAUACCCUAUGUUGUUCGAUGCGGACAUCUAAGUUGAACCAAAGGUUUACCGCUAAGGGAUGGGGAUGCGUCCGAUUAGGCAGCAGGCGGGGUAACGGCCCACCUGGCCAACGAUCGGUAGGGGUUCUGAGAGGAAGGUCCCCCACAUUGGAACUGAGACACGGUCCAAACUCCUACGGGAGGCAGCAGUGAGGAAUAUUGGUCAAUGGGCGAGAGCCUGAACCAGCCAAGUAGCGUGCAAGGAUGACGGCCCUAUGGGUUGUAAACUGCUUUUAUGCGGGGAUAAAGUGCGGCACGUGUGCCGUUUUGUAGGUACCGCAUGAAUAAGGACCGGCUAAUUCCGUGCCAGCAGCUGC
rnacentral:rRNA from 1 species